UAAUUGUGUGCCAGCAGCCGCGGUAAUACGGAAGGUCCGGGCGUUAUCCGGAUUUAUUGGGUUUAAAGGGAGCGCAGGCUGAUGAUUAAGCGUGACGUGAAAUGUAGCCGCUCAACGGCUGAACUGCGUCGCGAACUGGUUAUCUUGAGUGAGUUCGAUGUUGGCGGAAUUCGUGGUGUAGCGGUGAAAUGCUUAGAUAUCACGAAGAACUCCGAUUGCGAAGGCAGCCAACAAGGCCUUUACUGACGCUAAAGCUCGAAGGUGCGGGUAUCGAACAGGAUUAGAUACCCCAGUAG
rnacentral:rRNA from 1 species